CGCGAGGUAUCCCAAUUGGCAGAGGAGUCCGCCUCAAAAGCGGAUGGUUGCGGGUCCGACUCCCGCUCUCGCGA
rnacentral:tRNA from 1 species